rnacentral:rRNA from 1 species
UACGUAGGGUGCAAGCGUUGUCCGGAAUUAUUGGGCGUAAAGAGCUCGUAGGCGGUCUGUCGCGUCGGAUGUGAAAAUCCAGGGCUCAACCCUGGACCUGCAUUCGAUACGGGCAGACUAGAGUUCGGUAGGGGAGACUGGAAUUCCUGGUGUAACGGUGAAAUGCGCAGAUAUCAGGAGGAACACCGGUGGCGAAGGCGGGUCUCUGGGCCGAAACUGACGCUGAGGAGCGAAAGCGUGGGGAGCGAACAGG